rnacentral:rRNA from 1 species
AACGCGAAGAACCUUACCUGGGCUCGAAAUGCUAUGGACCAGCUUAUGAAAGUAGGCCUUCCCGCAAGGGACCGUAGUAUAGGUGCUGCAUGGCUGUCGUCAGCUCGUGUCGUGAGAUGUUGGGUUAAGUCCCGCAACGAGCGCAACCCUUGUCCUGUGUUGCCAUACCGAAAGGUGGAACUCGCAGGAGACCGCCAGGGAUAACCUGGAGGAAGGUGGGGAUGACGUCAAGUCCUCAUGGCCUUUAUGUCCAGGGCUACACACGUGCUACAAUGGACGGUACAAAGGGCUGCCAACCCGCGAGGGGGAGCCAAUCCCAAAAAACCGUUCUCAGUUCGGAUUGCAGGCUGCAACUCGCCUGCAUGAAGCUGGAAUCGCUAGUAAUGGCGGAUCAGAACGCCGCCGUGAAUACGUUCCCGGGCCUUGUA